CAGCCGCCGCGGGAAUACGUAGGGUGCAAGCGUUAAUCGGAAUUACUGGGCGUAAAGGACGCGUAGGCGGAUUAUCAAGUCUCUUGUGAAAUCUAACGGCUUAACCGUUAAACUGCUUGGGAAACUGAUAAUCUAGAGUAAGGGAGAGGCAGAUGGAAUUCUUGGUGUAGGGGUAAAAUCCGUAGAUAUCAAGAAGAAUACCUAUUGCGAAGGCGAUCUGCUGGAACUUAACUGACGCUAAUGCGUGAAAGCGUGGGGAGCAAACAGGAUUAGAUACCCGGGUAGUCCCUGUCUCUUAUAC
rnacentral:rRNA from 1 species